CUUGGUCUCUUCCUUCCAUGGUUUGUUAGGCGGUCUCGUUUAGCUUAUUACAAUGAUGAUCUUUAGCUCCCUCUUCUGAUUAGAGUUGAAGAGAUUGGCUGGCAGAAUCGAACCUAUGACUUUUACAGCCACCACUGAGUAAUCUUCUGAUCCCCAACGUUGAGAAGUUAGUUAAUUUUUGAUUGUUUUUUAAAUUUAUUCUCUGACGAAAUGAAUUUUAAACUAAUAUUGUUUAAGAUGGUGAUGAAGCACUAAUAUCCAACACUUGAACUGAGGCAUAUUGUCGAGUGAUGUUUUAACAUUCAUUGGCUUCUGAAUCUGAUUGUCAUUUUUCUGAUUCUUAUCUUUGUUGGAAUCUAUGCAACUGGUGUUGUUUGCCAAAAUUUUGUGUGAUUGAAUUAGAAAUCAGGCGUUUGAGUGGUGUUUGCUUUUGAUUGUUGGUCUUUGUUGACAAAAGAAAAGAACUCAGAUCCCUCAAUGCUUUUGCUGUUGGUUAUCUGAUGAUUAGCUAGUUAUGGUUGCCAUAUGUCUUGCAUUUUGAUUCUGAUCACGCAUAAGAUUUAUGGUUGGAGUCAUCAAGUGAUGAGAAUGGAAAAAUCUUAGGACACCUUCCUACAUGGUUUUUGUUAGGCCAUGGAUGAGAAUAACUUUCCGUUCUGAUGAUGACUACCACCCAUGAUAUGUUUUGCCAUUUGGUGGCUGGUAAAAUACCAUCCAUUUGAGUAUGUUAUGUGAUGCCGUAAAUAUGUUCUUAAAAAUCUGCACCAUAUGGUAAUGAAUGUACUGGUUAAUCACUUAAUCCCAAUUACGUAAUACUGGUUUAUGUUUGCAUUCUUUUAGGAAAAAUAAUAUGAAGUGAAAUUUUAGCUUGAGAGAGUCCUCCCUUGGUCCCUUUUACGAAAUCUUAUGUUGGUCGGCAUAAUUAAUAAUUGUAUUAUUGCUGUAUAAGUAUUUUACCAUCUUCCUUUCCUAUUUCCUAUGAGCUUGAACUGGUCAUUUAUGUUGUACGAAAGUCAAUUUUUUGUGACUAGAAACCAUGGCUGUGAUUUCUGCUUGUCAGACUUGAGGUUUGUGCUUGAAGAAGUCAGGUCGGAGUUAGGCUCUCGCCCGGUUUGCAAAUUUAUGUUUUGUCCAAGAAACCAAAAUUCGGUGGCUGAUGCAUUGGCUUCCCUUGGUAGAUUGGCUUUAUCAGAUUCAGAUUAUGUUUGUUUGGAGGGGGUCCCCCGUCUAUUUUUCUGUAGCUUUAGCUGAUUGUAAUCCUUCUUUAGUUUAUGAUGAGCAGUUUCUUUAA